rnacentral:tRNA from 1 species
AGGUGAGUAGUCUAAAUUGGAAAGGCAGCCGGUCUAAAAUAGCCGGAGUCGGGGGUUCGAUUCCCCCCUUACUUG